GACGAACGCUGGCGGCGUGCCUAACACAUGCAAGUCGAGCGAGUGGAGUUCUUCGGAACAAAGCUAGCGGCGGACGGGUGAGUAACACGUGGGCAACCUGCCUCAUAGAGGGGAAUAGCCUUCCGAAAGGGAGAUUAAUACCGCAUAAGAUUGUAGCUUCGCAUGAAGUAGCAAUUAAAGGAGUAAUCCGCUAUGAGAUGGGCCCGCGGCGCAUUAGCUAGUUGGUGAGGUAACGGCUCACCAAGGCGACGAUGCGUAGCCGACCUGAGAGGGUGAUCGGCCACAUUGGGACUGAGACACGGCCCAGACUCCUACGGGAGGCAGCAGUGGGGAAUAUUGCACAAUGGGGGAAACCCUGAUGCAGCAACGCCGCGUGAGUGAUGACGGCCUUCGGGUUGUAAAGCUCUGUCUUCAGGGACAAUAAUGACGGUACCUGAGGAGGAAGCCACGGCUAACUACGUGCCAGCAGCCGCGGUAA
rnacentral:rRNA from 1 species